AGAACGAACGCUGGCGGCAGGCUUAACACAUGCAAGUCGAACGGUUGUAGCAAUACAGCAGUGGCAGACGGGUGAGUAACACGUGGGAACCUUCCUAGGGGUACGGAACAACUCAGGGAAACUUGAGCUAAUACCGUAUACGUCCGUAAGGAGAAAGAUUCAUCGCCCCUAGACGGGCCCGCGUAGGAUUAGGUAGUUGGUGAGGUAACGGCUCACCAAGCCUACGAUCCUUAGCUGAUCUGAGAGGAUGAUCAGCCACACUGGGACUGAGACACGGCCCAGGCUCCUACGGGAGACAGCAGUGGGGAAUCUUGGACAAUGGGCGCAAGCCUGGAUCCAGCCAUGCCGCGUGAGUGAAGAAGGCCUUCGGGUUGUAAAGCUCUUUUACCAGGGACGAUAAUGACGGUACCUGGAGAUAAGCCCGCAAACUUCGUGCCAGCGAGCCGAC
rnacentral:rRNA from 1 species